UUCAAAUUUCCAAAAACACAACAGGACAAAGGUAAAUGGUCUUUACAUGUGUAUAGAUUUAUAAUGUUCAUUAUCAAUAUACUAAAUGAUCAUUCAUAAUUCAAUAUUUAUUCAGUGACAGAGAGAAGACUUUGGAAAGAAAAAAAUCAAGAGAAGCUGAGAAGGCAAAAACUGAGAUUGCAAAGGAAAAAGAGAUAAGGCCACAAAGGGAAAUCCCAAAUGUUCCUCUUGCUUUCCGAUCUCCAUACAUGGUCAAGUACAAGGAUUUGUUCAAAGAUGAAGACACAAUGAACAAACUUGUAACAGACUAUGCUUAUAGUGGAAAAGAUCAAAGUGAGCUACUAUACUAUGAUGGAGUGAAUUCGAUCAAUAGGGAAGAGAUGAAAACUCUUGAAGGGGAUACAUUAGUAGUUAACAAUGUGAUCGAUUCAUGGGCAGUACUUCUGAAUCAAAAAAGGUCAAAGAACAAGUUAUACUUUUCAACAUUUCCACAUGUAAGUCUUUAUUGAAAUUACACAUGUAUACAUUGGUGUACUAAAAUGAUCAAUUCACUUAUACUAGAUGAUCAUUAUGAAUAUUAAAAU